GACAGAGGGUGCAAACGUUGCUCGGAAUCACUGGGCGUAAAGGGCGUGUAGGCGGGCAGGUAAGUCGGGCGUGAAAUCCCUGAGCUCAACUCAGGAACUGCACUCGAAACUACUUGUCUUGAGUACCGGAGAGGAAAGCGGAAUACCUGGUGUAGAGGUGAAAUUCGCAGAUAUCAGGAGGAACACCAGUGGCGAAGGCGGUGGUCUGGGCCGAUACUGACGCUGUAGAGCGAAAGCGUGGGGAGCGAACAGG
rnacentral:rRNA from 1 species